rnacentral:tRNA from 1 species
AUUUAAGUAGCUUAAAUUAGAGCAUAAUAUUGAAGAUAUUAGGGUAAUAAUAAUUCUUAAAUA